rnacentral:lncRNA from 1 species
GCAGUAUUGUACAGUUUAUUAAACAGUUUCUACUUCAGCAACAAAUACAAUUGCAGAGACUUAACUGAGUGUAUGAUUCCUUCUGCUUUCAUAGCAGUGUGAAACCCCAGCUCCUGAACCUUGCAGAAGAAAACCCGGAAGACUGGAAACCAAGGGCUUUGCCACUCUUGUCUGAUGAUUUGAGGAGGGAAAUUGACUGACUCUCCAAAUGAGUGACCAUCUCAUAGGAAAGCCAUCCAGGUAAGGAUUAUUCGUGUUCCUUUUUCAUUUCUGUCAGAAAAAUGGCGCAAUCAGUGCAGGUCUUUACAGUCUUGCUUAGAGGGCGCACAGCUGAUUUUCAC